GGCGUCAGGAGCUGGACGCCAGGACUCUUUAGAAAACCGGAAGUGUCUGUGACUGCCGGGUUAACCCUCUGUCCCAGCGUAUCUUGAGUCAGAAGGGCUUGCAGGUUUGUUUCUAGCAUUAGGACCGUUGCUGUAUCCUUCAAACAUUUUAGCAACGUGGUACGUCAUAUCCAGCCUUGAGAGUCAGAGCUGUGUCGGAACUAUCACUGGACCUUGGGCCAAUUACUUUACCUUUCUCAGCAUGAUUUGGAUAAUAUUUCUUGAGGCACAGUGGGGCACGUAAUAUGAAGUGAAGGAAGUUGAAAACUUUAGGCAGGAAUCGACAGUACAGAAUGCAUUUCUUUUGUCUGUGGUAUCAGCUAGCUUCAGACUGUAAUAGUGCCUUACAUUUUAUGUAUACUAUACAUUUUCCACCCCUGUUUCAUGUUUUGGAAUUUGAGGCCAUAAAUGGGAUAGUAUUCACUGAUAAAGAGGUGUUCUUACCAAGUGCCAGCUAGCUUAGUUUAGGGAGGGAAGACGCAAACACCUAUAUAGGUGGUGGUGACCCUUUUACCCUGCCAAAGCAUGGUAAGAGAGAUUUAUGGUGAAGAGGACUGAAUUCUUUGAAGACGCAAUAUUUGAAGAGAGUCCCUGAAGUGGGGAAGCAAGUCAUGUGUUUAUGAAGGAUCACUUACUCUGGGGAAAGCCAGCUGUCACAUCGUGAGGACACACAAGCAACCUAAUGGAGUCUCAUGUAGCUAGGAAGUGAGACCAUCUGCCAACAGCCAUAGAGGAGAAGUGAAGGAGAAAGAGAGGGGAAGACAUUAAUGUGCAAGAGAAACAUCAAUUGGUUGCCUCUCACACUUGCUCCAAUCGCAGACCAGGCCUGCAAACCCGGCAUGUGCCCUGACUGGAAAUUGAGCUGGCGACCUCUCACUUUUCUGGACCAUGUUCAACCAACUGAGCCACACCGGUCAGGGCUGGUCCAACGUUGAAGCCAGGAAGCCUGUUGACUGAUUUUGGUGAUGCUUGUUUCCACCUGAGUUGAGGUGGCAAUGUGAGUACAACAAGAGAAGUGCAUGGUCAUACAAACUCUUCCUUGUUCUGCCAGUAUGUAGCCUAAGGCAAUUCGAUUAUCUAAGACAGCCUUAGUGGAGAGUCCAGAGAUUUCUGAAUAUUAGCAAGUGAGCUGACAGUUUUAUUUGGCUAUGGUGGUUAAAGUCUUGGAGAGAUUCUGAAGUACAUUCUGUUGUUCAGUUCUCCCCUACCAGGGUAAUAGAGUACAUGUAAAGAAAUACUUGUCAUUAUGUGUGAUUUCUCUGGGGAGAUCUCAGGCCAUUCAGGUGAGUAUUGAUUGCUCACCUGGAGUCCCAGCUGCCCAAACAGUUUUUCUUACUUGCUUGUACAUCUCAGGAGGGAACAGUUCUCUUCUGAGUCCCCUUGAACAGAUUAAAAGCAUCUGGAGUUGGAGUGCAUAUUCUCCAGUGGGACCUGCAGGUAAAGCUGCUGCCUUUCAGGAGAAAAGGUUAUUUGAGCAGGCAAUUUAGAAAGCAAGUCCAGUCCCAGCAGAUGAAUGCAACAUUCAGGCAAACAAAGGAGGCUGUGUGAUAACUUAAGAUCUCUGAGUCGACAUUCCAAAAGCUGGAGGGAGGCUUGUUGUUGCAUUUCUCUCAUUACUCCGACUGAGACUCUCAUGGGGUUUUUAUUAUUAUGUAGUGAAUUUGGGCUUUAAUACAGUGUACAUUGCUCACAUAUCUAUUAAAAAUUGAUCAAUUUGUUCCCCACUGUCAAUUGUAUCUGAGGCUCCUGGGGGGAAAUAAUGACAAGUCAGGAGGUGUUAGAGGAGUCCCUGGGUCCCCUCAUUCAUCACCUGAGUCACCAUUCCAUUUCACCAAAAGGUUACAAAAUUGCAAUAAUUUUGUUCUGUCCCAUAAUCAAUUUUGUUCAUGUUGAUUAUUUGCCAGUAUUUCUUUUUUUUAAAAAAGAUUUUUUAUUAAUUUAUCUUUAGAGAAGAAGGGAAGGAGAGAGGGAGAGAAAUACCAGUGUAUGGUUGCCUCUUGUGUGUCCCUUGCUGGGAACUGGCCUGCAACCCAGGCAUGUGCCCUGACUGGGAAUCGAACCGCGAUCCCUUAGUUUGCAGGCCCGUGCUCAAUCCACUGAGCUACACCAGCCAGGGCUAUUUGCCAGUAUUUCUAUAAAUCCAGUUAUUCCAUAGAAUUCUAGUAAUCUUCAUCCAGUUCAAAACUAUGAUCUGAAAAUUUACUCUCAGAAAUAUGUAAUUUAGAAUAAGUUACAGUCCCUUCCAUGGAUCUUUCUGAAGAUGUAACAUAUUUGUAAAUGCAUCAGGGUAAAACAAUGACUUACUAAAUGACAAUAAAAAAAGUUAAUAGCAGUGCUAUAUACAUUAGACAACUGCUGGAAACAGCCUAAGUGCCCUUCAGUAAAUGAGUGGACCAAAAAUCUGUGGUACAUUUACACAGUGGAAUACUAUGCAGCAGAAAGAAGGAAGGGACUCCCUAUCUUUUGCGACAACAUGGAUGGAACUGGACAGUAUUAUGCCAAGUGAAAUAAGCCAGUCAGAGAGAGAAAAAUACCAUAUGAUCUCACCUAUAAGAGGAAUCUAAUGAACAAAAUAAACUAAUGAAUAUAAUAGAACCAGAGGCAUGGAAACAUGGAACAGACUGAAAGUGACUGGAGGGGUGAUAAUGGUGGAAAGAAAAGGAUGGAGCUAGAGAAAGAACAUGU